AUAAAGUUUUAUUUUAACUUAAAAAAUUGAUUUAUAGUUUUAGUAUAUGUGAAUUUAGAUUAAAAAUAAUGUAUACAGUAUAUAGAUUUAAAUAUUAAAGUAAUUUAGAUUUAGAAAAUUAUAAUAAUUUUAACAAAAUUUGUGCCAGCAGUUGCGGUUACACAAAUAAAGUAAUUGAUUUAUAUUAGUAUAUAAUUAGUUGAUUUAUAAAGACUUUAAUUUAAAAUUAUUAAGUGAAAUUUUAAUUUUAUUAAAGUUUAAUUUAAUAAAUGAUAUUAUGAAAUUAUUAUGAUAAACUAGGAUUAGAUACCCUAUUAUUAAUAAUAUAAAUGUUUAACUAGAUUAUUAAAAGUUAAGGUCUUAAAAAUUAAAAAAUUUGGCGGUAUUUUAGUCUUUUUAGAGGAACCUGUUUUAUAAUUGAUACUCCACGAUUAAAUUAACUUUAAUUAGAAGCUUGUAUAUCGUCGUAGUUGAAUAUUUUUUAAAAAUAAUAAUAUUCAAAAUUUUUUUAUAAUAAAAUAAAUCAGAUCAAGGUGCAGUUUAUAUUGAAGAUUUAAUGGGUUACAUUAAAUAAAUUUUUGGUUUUAAAUUAUAAAAUUUUAAUUAAAUUGGAUUUAAUAGUAAUUGUAUAUUUAUUUAUAUAAUGAUUAAGCUCUAAAAUAUGCACAUAUCGCCCGUCACUCUCAAUAAUAUGAGAUAAGUCGUAACAAAGUAGUGGUACUGGAAAGUGUCUCUAGAAAGAC
rnacentral:ncRNA from 1 species